AUGCAGAGGAGGUGCGAGACGAGCAGGAUGGAGAGGAUGCAGCAGCGGCCACUUGACGACGAGGCAGGCGACAGCAGCUUGGCACAGCGCGAAGCAGAGGCACGGCAGCGGCAGGGACGAACACGCCCAGGCGAGGGCGCUCAUCCAAGGCAGCUAUGGCAGAGGGGCGAUGCAGCUCCUGAGAAGGAAGGGGACGCCGGUGUAUGGCGGGGAAACGGGCGGAUCUGGGCGGCGGGAGUCCAGCUCCGACGAUGGUGGCGCCGGUUGGUGCUCCUGGGUGUGCUGUUGCCAGGUGUGGAGGACAUGGCUUGCUCCUUCCGGUUCCUGUGA
rnacentral:rRNA from 1 species